CCACAUUCCUCUCCCCUACCCGCCAUCCCACCCUCGGUGUGAUUCUGUUGCAGGCAGUCCAGCCUGACUUCCUCUGGUCCCGUGGAUCACAACUUCCUGGCAACAGGGUACAUCCUGAGGGUAGCAGAGUUUUUAAAGACACACUUUCUUGUCUACCCUAAAAGCUUCUACCAGCUUCAACAAGAAAGAAGCUUGGGCCAGAACAUCAUGCGCAAGGGAGAAGGAGCACAAGAAGAGGCAGAUGCAGAAGGAGGAGGGAAGAAAAUCAUUACAGAUGCAGCUAAACCUUCCCUCCUUGUCCCGUCCAUUCCAUUCCUCUUUUGCCUCCAUAGAGAGCUCACACCUUUAAUACUACAAUGUCCUGCUUCUCCUCAAAACUCAGGGGGAAGACCAAAGAAUUAUGAACAAAUGUAUUAAGGAUCCUUAAUUCUGUUAACAAUCAUUUGUGUUAACUUAGCU